UUUCCGUAGGUGAACCUUCGGAAGGAUCAUUACCGUAACGCGGCGGUCCGGCAACCGCAAGGAAGUCGGCCGCCACACGCGUUUAUCACCCUUGACUUUGAGCACCUUUCGUUUCCUCGGCGGGUUCGCCCGCCAGCGAGGACCCCCAUAAACCCUUUGUAAUAGCAAUAUUUGUCUGAAAAACAACCAAUAAUCAAAACUUUCAACAAUGGAUCUCUUGGUUCUGGCAUCGAUGAAGAACGCAGC
rnacentral:misc_RNA from 1 species